rnacentral:rRNA from 1 species
CAGUAGCCGCGGUAAUACGUAGGUGGCAAGCGUUGUCCGGAACUAUUGGGCGUAAAGGGCUCGCAGGCGGUUUCUUAAGUCUGAUGUGAAAGCCCCCGGCUCAACCGGGGAGGGUCAUUGGAAACUGGGAAACUUGAGUGCAGAAGAGGAGAGUGGAAUUCCACGUGUAGCGGUGAAAUGCGUAGAGAUGUGGAGGAACACCAGUGGCGAAGGCGACUCUCUGGUCUGUAACUGACGCUGAGGAGCGAAAGCGUGGGGAGCGAACAGGAUUAGAUACCCCCGUAGUCCCUGUCUCUUAUAC